GAACAUCAACAGCUUCACUGGAAUGAAUGAGCCGGAUCUGUACUUGGGCUUUCCCCUCCCAUGGAAGAAGGAACGUGACCAGAUGCAGAUGUUAAUGUUCACAGUGGAAGAUGUUUUAAAUCCAAUUUACUGAAACUACGAAUGAGGAUCUUCACAGGUUGGCUUAUUGCGGUGCAAUAUGGAGACUCAAUACCCAUAGGGACGUGGGCAG